AUUGAACGCUGGCGGCAGGCCUAACACAUGCAAGUCGAACGAGUGGCGGACGGGUGAGUAAUGUCUGGGAAACUGCCUGAUGGAGGGGGAUAACUACUGGAAACGGUGGCUAAUACCGCAUACCAUCAGAUGUGCCCAGAUGGGAUUAGCUAGUUGGGGGGGUAACGGCUCACCAAGGCGACGAUCCCUAACUGGUCUGAGAGGAUGACCAGCCACACUGGAACUGAGACACGGUCCAGACUCCUACGGGAGGCAGCAGUGGGGAAUAGUGUACAAGGGGCGCAAGCCUGAUGCAGCCAUGCCGCGUGGAUGAAGAAGGCCUUCGGGUUGUAAAGUACUUUUUGCGGUGAGGCGGUACCAGCAGAAGAAGCACCGGCUAACUCCGUGCCAGCAGCCGCGGUAAUUC
rnacentral:rRNA from 1 species